AGAGUUUGAUCAUGGCUCAGAAUGAACGUUGGCGGCGUGGAUUAGGCAUGCAAGUCGAGCGAGAAGUUUACUUCGGUAAAUGGACAGCGGCGAAAGGGACAGUAAUGUGUAGGUACCUACCCCCCGAUCUGGGAUAGCUGCGGGAAACUGCAGGUAAUACCGGAUAAUGUCUUCGGACCAAAGGUGUGAUUCCGUCAGGGGAGGGGCCUGCAUCCUAUUAGCUUGUUGGUGAGGUAAUGGCUCACCAAGGCAACGAUGGGUAGCGGGUGUGAGAGCAUGACCCGCGUCAUUGGGACUGAGACACUGCCCAGACAUCUACGGAUGGCUGCAGUCGAGAAUCUUCGGCAAUGGGCGAAAGCCUGACCGAGCGACGCCGCGUGCGGGAUGAAGGCCCUCGGGUUGUAAACCGCUGUCGUUGGGGAGGAAAUGCAAAAGGGUUAUCCCUUCUGUUUGACCGAUCCAAGGAGGAAGUACGGGCUAAGUUCGUGCCAGCAGCCGCGGUAAGACGAACCGUACGAACGUUAUUCGGAAUUACUGGGCUUAAAGGGUGCGUAGGCUGCACGGAAAGUUGGGUGUGAAAGCCCUCAGCUCAACUGAGGAAUUGCAUCCAAAACUGCCGUGCUUGAGGGAGACAGAGGUGAGCGGAACUCAAGGUGGAGCGGUGAAAUGCGUUGAUAUCUUGAGGAACACCGGUGGCGAAAGCGGCUCACUGGGUCUCUUCUGACGCUGAGGCACGAAAGCUAAGGUAGCAAAC
rnacentral:rRNA from 1 species